AAAAAAGUGUGUGUGUCCGCUCCGACGCACGACUGGAGUUUACUGGAUAUAAAAAAUUAAACGAAACAAUACGAGAAAUAGUUCUAUAUUACGACAACACGAUACACUACAGAUUAUUAACAAAUUAACGAGACACAAAACAAACGACUAACAAAUAUAUGAAAAUACAAUAAUGAGAGAAACGCGCGAUCAGUACGAGGCUUUGUGGCGGACUGCCGGCGCAGCAGCCCGGCGUCACCUGCGAUAACGCAUUUCGUGUGACAUGCGCAAUCAGGCGCAUAACGCAUUUCGUGUGACAUGCUAGUACGAUUUUGGUUCCCAUAAUUUUCAUACCCCGGGCCUAUAUAUGUAAAUCGAUUCUAAAGGAGUAAACUCCAAAAAUAUAUGUUCUUUGAUUUUUCACCCUGACCGAUAUGCACGCUAAGAUUCACGAAAAUCGGUUGAGCCGUUUCGGAGGAGUUCAAUCACGCACCCCGUGACACGAGAAAUUUAUAUAUUAGAUUUUUAUUUAAUUUUGACAUAAAAAUGUCGAAAAUGGGGUCAACGGCGUCUAUUAAGAGGCCUGCCUCGGCCUCAAUUCAACAUUGAGUUAGAUAAUAUUAUCGAAUACAUAAAUUAAAAUUUCAGAUUCAAAUAAAAAUAACAAUUAAUAUUUACAUGACAGGUUAUUUACAUACUACGUAUUAUUAUGCCUAAUACAAUAUUUGUCCAAAGAAAAAAGGAAUUGAAUUUAGUAAUAUUGAUAACAAUGUGCUUCUAUAAAAGACCGCGAAAAUAAUUCAGGAGACAAUUCGACAUCUCUAUUCACAUUGAAUACGCACGAAAACAACAUGAAACUCUCAAAGUUCCUAGUUUUCUUGAUGGCAAUUAUGAGUCUCGGCCAGGUCCAAGGCAAGAGGACAAGUAGCGACCGCUCCUCCGACCAAAAUCUACUCAACAUUGUAAUAAAAUGCUUGGGAUGAACAUAAA